rnacentral:rRNA from 1 species
CGAGCGGUCACAGAAGAGAUGACGUCUGUCGUCUACGUGUAUGCUGACGAGCGACGGACGGGUGAGUAAUGCUUGGGAACAUGCCUUGAGGGGGGUGACUCCGGUUGGAAACAACUGCUAAUACCGCAUUCCGUCUACCGACCGGAGGGGGCUUCAGCUCUCGCCUUUGCAUUGGCCCACGUGGGAUUACCUAGUUGGUGAGGUAAUGGCUCACCAAGGGAACGAUCCCUACCUGGAUUGAUAGGAUGAUCAGCCACACUGGAACUGACACUGGGUCUGAACUCCUACGGGAGGCCCUACUGGGGAAUAUUGCACAAUGUCUUCAAGCCUGAUGCAGCCUUGCCGCGAGUGUGAACAAGGCCUUCAGGUUGGAAAGCACUUUCAAUCACGAUGAAAGGUUAGAAGAUAAUACCUGCUAGCUGUGACGUUACUGACGGAAGAACCACCGGCUAACUCCGUGCCUACAUCCGCGGCAAUACGGAGGGUGCUAGCGUUGAUCGGAAUUACUGGCCGAAAAGCUGACCCAGGCGGUUUGUUAAGCGAGAUGUGAAAGCCCAGGGCUCAACCUGCGAACUGCCUUUCGAACUGGCAAGCUAAAUUGUGAUAUAGGGUGGUAAAAUUUCAAGUGUAACUCCGAAAUGCGUAGAGAUCUGAAGGAAUAUCUAUGGCAACAGCAGCCACCUGGGUCACUCUUGACGCUCAUGCUCAAACUCGUGAGGAGCAAACUGGAUUAGAUACCCCGGUAGACCACGCCGUAAACCAUGUCUACUACAAUCUCGGCUCCUCGGACUUGUUUUUCAAAGCUAACGCAUUAAGUAGACCGCCUGGGGAGUACGGCCGCAAGGUUAAAACUCAAAUGAAUUGACGGGGGCCCGCACAAGCGGUGGAGCAUGUGGUUUAAUUUGAUGCAACGCGAAGAACCUUACCUACACUUGACAUACAUAGAACUUACCAGAGAUGGUUUGGUUCCUUUGGGAACUAUGAUACAGGUGGUGCAUGGCUGUUGUCAGCUUGUGUUGUGAGAUGUUGGGUUAAGUCCCGCAACGAGCGCAACCCCUAUCUUUAGUUGCUAGCAGGUAAUGUUGAGAACUUUAAGGAGACUGCCGGUGAUAAACCGGAGGAAGGUGGGGAGGACGUCAAGUCAUCAUGGCCCUUACGCGUAGGGCUACACACGUGCUCCAAUGGCGCAUACAGAGUGCUGGGAACUGGAGAGAGUAAGCGAAUCACUUAAAGUGCGUUCUAGUCCGGAUUCGAUUCUGCAAUUGGACUCCAUGAAGUGGGAAUCGUUAGUAAUCGGGUAUCACAAUGAC